GAACGCUGGCGGCGCGCCUAACACAUGCAAGUCGAACGGCACCCCUCUCCGGAGGGAAGCGAGUGGCGAACGGCUGAGUAACACGUGGAGAACCUGCCCCCUCCCCCGGGAUAGCCGCCCGAAAGGACGGGUAAUACCGGAUACCCCGGGGUGCCGCAUGGCACCCCGGCUAAAGCCCCGACGGGAGGGGAUGGCUCCGCGGCCCAUCAGGUAGACGGCGGGGUGACGGCCCACCGUGCCGACAACGGGUAGCCGGGUUGAGAGACCGACCGGCCAGAUUGGGACUGAGACACGGCCCAGACUCCUACGGGAGGCAGCAGUGGGGAAUCUUGCGCAAUGGGGGGAACCCUGACGCAGCGACGCCGCGUGCGGGACGGAGGCCUUCGGGUCGUAAACCGCUUUCAGCAGGGAAGAGUCAAGACUGUACCUGCAGAAGAAGCCCCGGCUAACUACGUGCCAGCAGCCGCGGUAAUACGUAGGGGGCGAGCGUUAUCCGGAUUCAUUGGGCGUAAAGCGCGCGUAGGCGGCCCGGCAGGCCGGGGGUCGAAGCGGGGGGCUCAACCCCCCGAAGCCCCCGGAACCUCCGCGGCUUGGGUCCGGUAGGGGAGGGUGGAACACCCGGUGUAGCGGUGGAAUGCGCAGAUAUCGGGUGGAACACCGGUGGCGAAGGCGGCCCUCUGGGCCGAGACCGACGCUGAGGCGCGAAAGCUGGGGGAGCGAACAGGAUUAGAUACCCUGGUAGUCCCAGCCGUAAACGAUGGACGCUAGGUGUGGGGGGACGAUCCCCCCGUGCCGCAGCCAACGCAUUAAGCGUCCCGCCUGGGGAGUACGGCCGCAAGGCUAAAACUCAA
rnacentral:rRNA from 1 species